GUAGGUGGCAAGCGUUGUCCGGAAUUAUUGGGCGUAAAGCGCGCGCAGGCGGUUCUUUAAGUCUGAUGUGAAAGCCCACGGCUCAACCGUGGAGGGUCAUUGGAAACUGGAGAACUUGAGUACAGAAGAGGAAGGCGGAAUUCCACGUGUAGCGGUGAAAUGCGUAGAGAUGUGGAGGAACACCAGAGGCGAAGGCGGCUUUCUGGUCUGUAACUGACGCUGAGGCGCGAAAGCGUGGGGAGCAAACAGGAUUAGAUACCCUGGUAGUCCACGCCGUAAACGAUGAGUGCUAAGUGUUAGGGGGUUUCCGCCCCCCUUAGUGCUGCAGCUAACGCAUUAAGCACUCCGCCUGGGAGUACGGCCGCAAGGCUG
rnacentral:rRNA from 1 species